UUUCUCAGAAAGGGCACUGCAUAGCUAGGGAGCCCCUUCAGCAGUUGGAUGAGUUCAACUCUUCUUUCUGUUCAUGACUGCUGGCCUACCUGUGAAUACUUUGCCUGAUAUCACCAAGAACCUGUCAAGCAGUUUUACUUUUUUUUUUAGCAGAGCACCAUAUUUAUACAUAGAGACUGACUUUAGGUCCAGAACCUGAACUACUGUAACAUUAGUUAACAGAAGUUGACAGAGGACCUCUUCUUACUUCUUUCAUUUGUAAGGUCUCUACAAGGUUAGGGCAUAUUGUGAUAAACUUUUUCCAUGUCUGUCAUGACUGUUUUCAUCAUAGAAAUUCUAUUCACAUAAAUUUUGUCUUUUUUAUAUAUUUAAGUAUGUCUUUGAGAAAAAAAAAAAUAAUAAUUCCUCUAUAAUUUCACAGAAAUAAAUGCAAAACUUUUAUUCUUGUUCUCACAAUAGAAAAAGAAAUGGAGCUCAUCUCCCUUUCUUUUGGGAAUUCAUAUGUUUUGCUAUGUAAGAGAGGUGCUCUUUGAAGUCAUCUUCUGCUGUGAGGCUCUGUAGCACAGACUGGCUUUCCUGGUUGUUGCCCAGGGUGAGCCAGUAAGAAGAAACCACUCCUGGAUUCUUUCAGAAUCCCAUGUGGUAUCCUGCAAGCCUUGGGAUAAAUAUUACUAUACAUUUUUAUUUAAAAAUUCUUAAAACAGUGUUAAAGUUGUAUCACAGGCCAUCAAAGUAGUAUUUUUGUAGUGUAAAACUGUGUGCAGGUGUUAUACAUAGUGAGUUAUUCUAAACUAUCUAGAGUUAUCAACUUACUGCUUUUUGAUUCAAUCUGGAACUUAUCUAACUUUUCAUAAUUAGGAAGAUUACUGAGGAUUUUUUUUUAUUUUUUAUUUUUUUUAACUUCUGUGUAUAACUGCAUAUUGAGAGUCCAUUGUUAUUUUGAGACUGGAGCAAGGCAUGUAGGAGCUGUUCCUUCUCAUGACACUGAAGCACUGAUUUCCACAGAAAGAAAACUCAAAAUUACAAAGAUAGCAGUUGUGUCCUGUUCCAGUCCUCAGUCCACACCACAAGGCUAUGUCUCUUACUACUAAGUGAAAUUAAGUAGGAUCUAAUGUCUGGCUCUCAGACUGAAGACUAUCAGGCUGAUAUCUCCACCUGCCUGGUACUACUGCUGUCCAUUGCAGAUUGGGCUAAGAAGAGUUUACUGGUAGUACUUCAGUCAUCCAGGAAUAAACAGCUCUGAGGUGCCCACUGUAUUAUUUUAUUGUAUAGUUAACCAAUUUCUCAAGGAACCAACACAGACUGAGUUGCACCACAACAUGAAUCACAGUUAAACUCUGACACUUUCAUCAAUAGGCCAUCUUUUUCUGUAGGUUGUCAUUAUUCUCAAACAACAGUUAUAAACUUACGUAUGUAAACUGAAGGGUACCUAUACAUUCACAGCAAUAUUCAGCUAUCAUAAAUAAAGUUGCAUUGUAGAUUGCGUCACCCUCAGACCCUAAUCUUCCUCAAUAGAGUAUUUAAUAUAGGGAAACAAUCUAUUGAUACUGAGGGAAUUCCUCAGUUAAUUUAUUAAGUUGCAAAAUUAAAUAAUUUGGCAGAAUGUAAUUGUAACCUUUGUUUCUAAAAGCACAAGGAUAUUGAAAAUAAGUGUUUAACUUAGAAGGAUGGAAAGAAACUUCACUGCUCCUUAGUUUUUUUUAGACCUGUUUCUUCUUCCAGAAGCAAAAAUAUACAUUUCAUGGAAAGGCCACAUCCUCAAGCAGCAUGACACAAAUAUGAAGUUCUCAUUUUCAUAUUGAAAAGUGGAAGAUAAUUUAUUUGUGAUCAUGAAUCACAUUUGUUACAGAACUGAAUAUUUCAUAUUCAAAUUCAAACAAGCCUAUCAUUCCAUACAAAUUAAUUUAAACUUUCAUGGCAGCAAGGCAUUCUUCAUUUUAUGUUUAUUGAAAGAUCUAUAUUUAUAUAUGCUGGCAGAAUGGCUUUGUAAUGAAUAUGUAUAUCUUGUAAAAUAUUUAAUAUACAGCAAAUCUGUGUGUUUACUGAAAAUUUGAACAUAUAAAUAUGAUAAAAUGCAGUUACAAGUAAAUUCUGCAUUUUUUGAGACAAAGGAGUAGCAUAAUUUAUACAUAAUAAUCUUCAUAACAGGUAUUUUGUCUCUUAAUAGAUUCUUUUGGAUGACUGUGUGCCUACAACCAAACAGAGCAGUUAUCAUUGAUAUAAAUUUGCUGUAUGAUAUAGGAAAAAAAAAAAAAAAAAAAAAAAAAACGAAGAAUUGAUUAGGAAUCUACUUUUCCAUGGAAAAUGACCCUACAAUAUCCUCAAUAAUGUAAGAAGAACUACUUCUAAAAUACUGAUAAUGUUAGGCAUAAUGGUAGGAUGCAGUCUGGGGAAGUUCCAUAUUCCUCUGAUUCAUAGAUAUCUUUCAACAUGUGCACAUAACAGAAUGCAGUGUUCAAUUUACUUUUAUUCUACAUUUGAAGGGAGUAGAAUGGCUUAGGAAGAAGCAUUAAAGAUCAACUAGUUGCACACCCCCUGCCAUGUGCAGGGCUGCUGCCCAAGGUGUCAUUCUCAUUCAGGGUCUUGAACACCUCCAGGGAAAGGGAAUCUGCAUCUCUGGGCAAGCUGUUCCAGUGUCCCACCACCCUCUGAGUGAAAAAUUUCCCUCUAACAUCUAAUCUAAAUCUCUCCUCUGAAAGUUUAAAACCAUUCCCGUAUGUCCUAUCAAUGUCAGACUGUGUAAAAGUUAGUCUUUCCCCUGACUAUAAGCUCUUUUUGAGUACUGAAAACCACAACAAGGUCUCCCUGGAGCCUUUUCUUCAAGAUGAACAAGCCAGGCUCCCUCCACGUACCUUUGUGGGAGGUCAGAGUUUGAGGUGGAUAUGACUAAAGAUUUUCUCACAAUGAGAAUCUCAAUGAAGACUAAACAAGCUUUUG
rnacentral:lncRNA from 1 species